rnacentral:rRNA from 1 species
GACGAACGCUGGCGGCGUGCUUAACACAUGCAAGUCGAACGGUGAAGGGGCCUGCUUUUGUGGGCCCUGGAUGAGUGGCGAACGGGUGAGUAACACGUGAGUAACCUGCCCCCUUCUUCUGGAUAACCGCAUGAAAGUGUGGCUAAUACGGGAUAUUCUGGGUCUGUCGCAUGAUGGGUCUGGGAAAGAUUGCGCCUUUGGGUGUUUUUGGUGGGGGAUGGGCUCGCGGCCUAUCAGCUUGUUGGUGGGGUGAUGGCCUACCAAGGCGGUGACGGGUAGCCGGCCUGAGAGGGUGGACGGUCACACUGGGACUGAGACACGGCCCAGACUCCUACGGGAGGCAGCAGUGGGGAAUAUUGCACAAUGGGCGCAAGCCUGAUGCAGCGACGCCGCGUGAGGGAUGGGGGCCUUCGGGUUGUAAACCUCUUUCGCCAGUGAAGCAGGCCUGCUCCUUGUGGGUGGGUUGACGGUAGCUGGAUAAGAAGCGCCGGCUAACUACGUG